UGGGGAAUCUUGGGCAAUGGGGGCAACCCUGAUCCAGCGACGCCGCGUGACCGAUGAAGGCCCUCGGGUCGUAAAGGUCUUUCGGCGGGGACUAUCGUGAAGGUACCCGCAGAAGCAGGAGCGCCUAACUACGUGCCAGCAGCCGCGGUAAUACGUAGGCUCCAAGCGUUGUUCGGAAUUACUGGGCGUAAAGCGAGUGUAGGCGGCUUGCCAAGUCGAUUGUGAAAUCUCCCGGCUCAACCGGGAGGGUGCGGUCGAAACUGACAAGCUGGAGUCCGGGAGAGGAGAGUGGAAUUCCUGGUGUAGCGGUGAAAUGCGUAGAUAUCAGGAGGAACACCGGUGGUGAAGACGGCUCUCUGGACCGGUACUGACGCUGAGACUCGAAAGCGUGGGGAGCAAACAGGAUUAGAUACCCGCGUAGUCC
rnacentral:rRNA from 1 species